AGCCCCUGGCAAUGGGCAAAGAGACACCUUGUUUGUGAUGUUCUUAGAUCAGUCAGGGGGAGAGCAGGUACCAGUCUUUUGCUCAUCCUAGCCUGAUGCCUGGCUUGGUGGUCAAAACUGUCUUAUGCCUAGGAUUCCAAA